rnacentral:rRNA from 1 species
GACGAACGCUGGCGGCGUGCUUAACACAUGCAAGUCGAGCGACGCUCUUCCUUCGGGGAGAUGACGGAGCGGCGAACGGGUGAGUAACACGUGGGCAACCUGCCCCUAGCUCUGGGACAACACCGGGAAACCGGUGCUAAUACCGGAUACGACAUCGAGCGGCAUCUCUCGAUGCGGAAAGUUUUUUCGGCUAGGGAUGGGCCCGCGGCCUAUCAGCUUGUUGGUGGGGUAAUGGCCCACCAAGGCGACGACGGGUAGCCGGCCUGAGAGGGCGACCGGCCACACUGGGACUGAGACACGGCCCAGACUCCUACGGGAGGCAGCAGUGGGGAAUAUUGCGCAAUGGGCGAAAGCCUGACGCAGCGACGCCGCGUGAGGGAGGACGGCCUUCGGGGUGUAAACCUCUUUCAGCAGGGACGAAUUCAGACGGUACCUGCAGAAGAAGCACCGGCCAACUACGUG